GGCCCCUUCGUCUAGCGGUUAGGACGUCAGCCUCUCACGUUGAAAACAGGGGUUCGAUUCCCCUAGGGGUCACCA
rnacentral:tRNA from 1 species